rnacentral:lncRNA from 1 species
CUCAGAACAACAGACAGAGGAAGGUUCUCCAGAGAACAACAGACAGAGGAAGGUUCUCCUCAGAACAACAGACAGAGGAAGGUUCUCCUCAGAACAACAGACAGAGGAAGGUUCUCCAGAGAACAACAGACAGAGGAAGGUUCUCCUCAGAACAACAGACAGAGGAAGGUUCUCCUCAGAACAACAGACAGUGGAAGGUUCUCCAGAGAACAACAGACAGAGGAAGGUUCUCCUCAGAACAACAGACAGAGGAAGGUUCUCCUCAGAACAACAGUCAGAGGAAGGUUCUCCAGAGAACAACAGUCAGAGGAAGGUUCUCCUCAGAACAACAGACAGAGGAAGGUUCUCCUCAGAACAACAGACAGAGGAAGGUUCUCCUCAGAACAACAGACAGAGGAAGGUUCUCAUCAGAACAACAGACAGAGGAAGGUUCUCCUCAGGACAACAGACAGAGGAAGGUUCUCCAGAGAACAACAGACAGAGGAAGGUUCUCAUCAGAACAACAGACAGAGGAAGGUUCUCCUCAGAACAACAGACAGAGGAAGGUUCUCCUCAGAACAACAGACACAGGAAGUGGUUUGAUUUUAAUUAAGGAAAGACACUAUCUGCAUCUCUUACUUUCUCUCUCUUUUUUUUUAAUAGAAAUCAUUUUUUGCACAAUAUGAAAAAAUGUUCCUCACAUCUAAGACGAACUAACAUGGUAAAGGAAGUAAAGAAAGGAAGGAGAAGCAUUCAGCAUGGUGGUGUAUAAAUGAGUCUGAUCAGUAAAGACAGACUUCAUCACAGUAGGCAAUGGGAUGGAGACUGGUCCAGGGUCCUUUGUCUUGGGAAUGUCCACGGUAUUUAGCUGUGGGGGAAAUGAGGGAUUGAUAUGAGUUUCAUUUGUUGUUUUGUGAAGUUAUAA